UCUGUUCUACAGGCUGAGAGCACCAACAAGGGUGUCCGUGCUGACAUAGGCUGGAGAGUGAAGACCAAAAACAGGCAUGUGAUCUCAAUGUCUGUGAUCUUCCUCCUGGAAAGGCAUUUCUUGGCUCAGGUCUCUCUGGGCUGGCACUGAAGUAUCCUUUGUCCUUUUAUGUGGUUUGUAAUGCUUGGGAAAUGGUGCUGGAGGCAAAGUUUGACUGCUGGUGUAUUUUGUACUUCAGGCUAUGUUCUGAAGCCCAGGAGAUCAGCACUGAAUGUUCUUUUUGUCACAUCCCUCCCUACCUAUGUCAGCCUUCAGAGCAGGGAGUACCAGUUACCUGCACUGACCAUAAAACUGGGAAAAACCAUUUCCAUGGCACACCACACCAGGAGAGUGGGUGAGACAAUGGAGUCUGCCCAAAUCUUUUACCAGCAUGGAAGAAGAGGAUGAGCAUCCAGUUCUCUGCUUUAAGAGGAGACUGUAAAGGUACCAGAUGAGUGGGAAAGGCAAAAAGCAUCAGGCAGUAGAAGACCUUAGUUUCUAGUUCAAAUGAAAAUACCAUUACAUGGACUAUAAGGGUUUCAGGUAAAUGAAGCAGCAGGAGUUUGAUUGUGAUGGUAGGUGUUUGGAAGAGCUAUUAAAUUACUCUA